CAGUCGCCGCGGUAAUACGAAGGGUGCAAGCGUUACUCGGAAUUACUGGGCGUAAAGCGUGCGUAGGUGGUGGUUUAAGUCCGUUGUGAAAGCCCUGGGCUCAACCUGGGAAUUGCAGUGGAUACUGGAUCACUAGAGUGUGGUAGAGGAUAGUGGAAUUUCCGGUGUAGCAGUGAAAUGCGUAGAGAUCGGAAGGAACAUCUGUGGCGAAGGCGACUAUCUGGGCCAACACUGACACUGAGGCACGAAAGCGUGGGGAGCAAACAGGAUUAGAUACCCCGGUAGUCCCUGUCUCUUAUAC
rnacentral:rRNA from 1 species